ACCCAAUAUCAAUAUCAGGAUUAGUUUUACAAAACUACCUGCACAAGCGAUUUGAUAAGGUAAUCCUCUUCAAUUACUGGCCGCUCACGGAGUCAUCCGAAGUUCAGCGAGGUCCUCCCCGUCAUGUGACUCCUUGGGCAGCGUUGGACCCCCGGACCCUCUCCAAUUACUGUGUUGCCCAGUUAGUCAUCCAACGGCUGGAAGAACUCGGACAUGCAUCUGAAGUUGAGAUUCUGAACACAUUGCGCGCAACCCAGGUCCCCCACUCGUUGGACGGCUAAUUGGGUGGCCAAAUAAGUGGAGAGGACCUUGAAGCUGUGAAAGCAAGGGAUUCGUUGUGAUUGGAAAUCAGAGCCACCGCCAAGAUGCUUGUGAGUGGGAUCGAGAAGAUCUCUGGGAAGUUUGCUUUUCGAGAGGCGGGAUAUCUUUAGAGCAAAUCGUUGCUUAUGAAUUGUUCGAUGAAAUGCUGAAAAGGAAUGUGAGAACUCUAAAAUCAAGAAUGCAUUUCAGUGGAACAUGAAUCCCAAAGAAUGUUCUCACUCUCAGGUAAAAAUGCUCUCUGCUUUAUGAGAAUGCAUAGCGUGCCAUGUGCAUUCCAAACAUAGCCCAAAAUUGCAAGUGUUCUUAGACAUUGUGGUUGGGAAGUGUUUUCUGCUUAACUUCCAUUAUAUCUAUGAAGUAUUCUCUGAAGUUAGCUUUUUCUAUUUUCAUUUAUUAUAUUUUAGUUUCAAUAUAGGUUGAUUCGUCAUUAGUCUUCUGUGCAUGACUCUGUGUUUCAUUUCUUUGUAACUAUAUAUAAAAUCUCGAGCUGUUAGAUAUGAGUGUUAAGAAUAUUGCAGUUUUGUUAUGGGGAAAAAAAAAAGAAAAGAAGAAGAUAGAAGUUUUCCAAAUUGGGAAUUCCUAGAGUAAGGAAUCCAAAAUUUAUAAACCAAGAACAUUUCUGUUCAUGUCUGUUAUAAAGAUAGUAGAGCAAAAUAUCUAUCUCAGACUCUCAUGAAAAUUUUCCUCUAUUAACAGGGUCAAUAAUAGAUUACCUAAAACAAAGAUGUAAUUAUAUUCACUAUGGUCUAGUUCAAAUUGCCAUAACCUUAAAAAGAAAAGGAUUAACUGAGGAAGUCCUAGGUAGCUUGAGACAAGAGGCUUAAAGAUCCUUCAAACCAACCUUUAGGAAUAAUACUAUAAUAGAAGCUAGUUUAAAUGAAGCAGUUGUGUUCUUUAAUAGGUUUCCAAAUUUUUCUGUAACCGUCACCGAUCCGACAAUGUUGAACUCUAUGGUUCUUACUUUAACCACUUUGCACAUCUUAUUGUCAAAAGUGAUUCUCAAGCUCUUAUUAGUUUAAUUAACAACAAAGACAAAUCCUUAUGGAUGUGCCAGCAUUGGUGGAGUGAAGAAAAUUUUUUUCCCAUUUAAAACUUGAAUUUCAUCAUGAAUAUAGUUUUUUUUGUGGGGGACUAGGGAGGGAACAUCUCAAGUCUGUGGUAGUGCAUGCCUUAAGAAGGCUAGUCUGGGCUUAAAAAAAAAAAGGAAAAAAGAAGAAGGAGAAAAAGAAAACUUUCAAUAUUGAUCCACAAAUUCAAAAUUAAAGUCUUGUGUGUUUGCAUGGUCUUGGAAGAAGCACUAAUGGAGGAUAUUAGUUGAUGCUUAAUUUGAAACUUGUUUCACAGUGGUAUCUUUCUCUCCAUAUUAUUUUCAGCCAAUCAUAAUUGAGAGCCUGAUGGUUGUAACCGAUAGAGGAAGUGGCGGAUAUUCAAGCAAAACCCCUAAAGUGAAAAGAGAACCAUAGGCUACAGUUGAACAUAUCUUUUGAUAAUCAUAAAUCUGAUACUAGAAGAAACAAGACAUCAUGGAUUUCCACUCUGAUUAGAAUGUACAGUUAUCACUCAUACAGAAUUAAAGAUGGAGAUGAUUUGUUGGUUCUGGGAGGAAAAAAUUCUGAUCUGAGGUUUAAACUUCUAAAAGUGCUUGGUGGCAUUAUUGUAGCUUGGUCUUUCAGUUCUUGAGCAGUAGUGAUGGUUGGUUUUGUGACUAUUGCCUAUAGAACAUUUAGCAUUGUAUUAGAGUUCUCUUUUUAUAUUCCAAAUGUCCAGUAUUAAUUUAUUAUUCAAA